GACGAACGCUGGCGGCGUGCUUAACACAUGCAAGUCGAACGCUGAAGCUUGGUGCUUGCACUGGGUGGAUGAGUGGCGAACGGGUGAGUAAUACGUGAGUAACCUGCCCUUGACUCUGGGAUAAGCCUGGGAAACUGGGUCUAAUACUGGAUAUGACAUGCCACUGCAUGGUGGUGUGUGGAAAGGGUUUUACUGGUUUUGGAUGGGCUCACGGCCUAUCAGCUUGUUGGUGGGGUAAUGGCCUACCAAGGCGACGACGGGUAGCCGGCCUGAGGGGGUGACGGGCCACAGGGGGACAGAGACAGGCCCAAGACGCAUAGGGGAGGCAGCAGGGGAGAAUAUUGCACAAUGGGCGGAAGCCUGAUGCAGCGACGCCGCGUGGGGGAUGACGGCCUUCGGGUUGUAAACCUCUUUCAGCACGAAAAAAGCGAGAGUGAGGGUACGUGCAGAAGAAGCGCCGGCUAACUACG
rnacentral:rRNA from 1 species